CCUACGGGUGGCUGCAGUGAGGAAUAUUGGUCAAUGGACGAGAGUCUGAACCAGCCAAGUAGCGUGAAGGAUGACUGCCCUAUGGGUUGUAAACUUCUUUUAUAUGGGGAUAAAACGUUCCACGUGUGGGAUUUUGUAUGUAUCAUAUGAAUAAGGAUCGGCUAACUCCGUGCCAGCAGCCGCGGUAAUACGGAGGAUCCGAGCGUUAUCCGGAUUUAUUGGGUUUAAAGGGAGCGUAGGUGGAUUGUUAAGUCAGUUGUGAAAGUUUGCGGCUCAACCGUAAAAUUGCAGUUGAAACUGGCAGUCUUGAGUACAGUAGAGGUGGGCGGAAUUCGUGGUGUAGCGGUGAAAUGCUUAGAUAUCACGAAGAACUCCGAUUGCGAAGGCAGUUCACUGGACUGCAACUGACACUGAGGCUCGAAAGUGUGGGUAUCAAACAGGAUUAGAUACCCCAGUAGUC
rnacentral:rRNA from 1 species